GGUCUCGUAGCGUAACGGCAGCGCAACUCUCUGUCGAGGAGAAGGCGCGGGUUCGAUUCCCGCCGGGACUGCCA
rnacentral:tRNA from 1 species